rnacentral:lncRNA from 1 species
UCAACGAUAUUGUAAAGCAACUCCGCGAAUGAGUUACCGCCUACUCUGCUAUGCAAACAGCAAACCUUGUGUGGUGUGUGUAGAAUGAAAAUUUUUAAAUCUUUUUUCUUCCUUCUUUUAGGCAGGUAUGAGCCAACAUCAGCAGAGCCGUCUUACCAGCUUUCACACUGUACAGGUAACCUGCCUGAAGCAACUCCAAUGCUUUAUAGUAACCACUCGUUUACUUCAGAUAUCCGUGACUGUUCAUCGUCUCUCACGGAGGCUUCUCAACCAAGUUCACAGGCCGCUGUACUGUACAGACCAUCAUCUAUGCCUUUCGAGAGAAGGCAGUAUAUGGAAGCACAAGUGCCUGAUGCCUUGCACAGGUCUGUAGCUGCCCA